AUGUUAGGAGCAUGUGACACGUCAGGUUCCAGCAAGCAGCUGGCCCUCCCCAGUGCAGGUGGGCAUCUUCCAAUCCACCAAGGGCCAGACGAGAACCGCAGGUGGAAGGAGGAGGAGUUGCACACACACCCGCCUUUCUCCCGCCUCACUGGUGAGAUGGGACAUCUCGUCACAUCUUCUGCCUUUAGACUGGGGUGGAUGCCAUCCACUCCGUUGGUUCUCCUAAUCUCUCUCUCUAUUCUCUCUCUCUCUCUCCUCUCUCUCUCCUCUCCCACCACCUCUCCCCCCUCGCCGAGUCUGUGUGCCCCACAGAUGCUCAUAUUUGUGUUCUCAGGGAAGAGGAACUGGAUGAAGAUAAAAAAAAAAAAAAGCCACUUGUCCAGCAUACACCAAACCCUUGCCCUCCGGCACGUCCUGGCCAGACUUUCGGGGCCCAGGGAUGGUGACGAGUCACCUGCUUCACAGCCUGAUGGGGGAGACGGGCAUUUCUUCAUUGAACAAGCAGAUGCCUGCCAGGCACGGUCAGGAUGUAGCCACGCGCCUGGAUUCCCCCAACUUGACAGUCUAGUUGGAGACAGACUAUUAACCAGGAUGCCCAUAAAUGUAAGGUUUUUGAAAACUGAGAAAGAAAACAGAGAAAGACAAAGCUGGCUCAGCGAAUUGAAUAUGAAGAGAAGGACAAGGCUUGUGGGGGUGAUCACGCACUGUGUCAAAACCCGCACACGCCGUGGCCCAACCCAAAUGCCAACUUCACGGUUGCGGGUUCUGGAGGUGAGAGGCUUGGACAGGGCUUGUCUCGGCUCCGUGACACCUGGGGCCUCAGCAGGCAAGACUCAGGUGCCUGUGGGGGGCUUGAAGAGCUGGGGGCUACAGGCAUCAAGAAGCAUCUUCAUUCAUGCACGUGUAGCUGGCACCGUGAAGUCCCCUCCCCUCCCUUCCAAUGAUGCCCCGGUCCUAACCCCCGGGGCCUGUGAAUAUCCCUGUUUACUGCAAAAAGGAUUUGCAGUUGUGAUCAAAUUGGGGAUUUUGAAGUGA
rnacentral:lncRNA from 1 species